rnacentral:lncRNA from 1 species
AAAAAGUAAACAAAAUAAAUACAGGAGGAAGAUUUAUUUGUUGUUUUCGAAAUUCUUCGUAAAACUUGGAAGAACGCAGGCAGCAAAUUGCGAUAAAAUGGUAAAGAAGUGAAAAGUAGUUGGAGGAAGACAAGAUCAUGCUCAUUGUGCCUCCUCAGAACCCACUUUCAAUAGAAAAUAUAAAGGAGAUAUGUAUGUAUCCAUUUUAUGCUAUAAUCAUGUAGGAUAUUGUUGUUUUAGGUUUGUCCCACAUCUGCAGAAUAAAUUGCAACAGAGAAG